rnacentral:lncRNA from 1 species
UGUUUCUAAAUCUUGUGUUAAGUGCAUUGCAUGUUUAAAUUUGUUGCAUCUGAGAGGGGAAGGCAUAUAUUUGAAAAAUUGAAGGUUGAAAUCGAGUGCUAUAAGGAAAGAUUACUCAAAAGAAAGAAAAGAAGGAGAAGUGGAAAAACCAGCAGACCGCUGAGCGGUCCAUUUUACCGCUGAGCGGUUGCGGCGCUAAUGGUCUCGGCUUUUCUUAAAAGCUGAGCGGUUUUCCAAGAUUUUCACUUUGAAACCCUUCUUUGCUUUUCGCUUGAGCGGUCCCCCUAAGCCCUAACACUUUCCUUUCACUUUCAAAAGCUUUUUAGAGAGAUUUCCUCACUUUCUCAUCACCCAC